AGAUGCCCAGCGGCAGGAGGCUCCCGGGCCUUCCCCUGGUUCAGCUGAGCCUGCCUUAUCCUCUUGGGCCUGCGCAGAGUGUGAACUGGGAGAGCCACCCCCGAAAUGCUGGGCAGUGGUGGGGGAGAGACCUUGGUGAGACCUGACCUCUCCUGGGCUCUGCAGAUGGACAUCCUGCCCAGGGAGGGCCGGGUCUCAGAGCAGGUUCCAGGCAGCGACGUGGGGGAGAGGCUGGGGGAGAGGCUGGGGAGGGUGGGUGGGGAAUUCAGGGGGGAGCCAAAGGGGGCCCCUGUGAGGCGCAAGCUGUGCUCCGUUCCAUGGUUCUCUGGACCUCAGGCACGGUGACUGCGCACAGGACAGUUAGCUGGGUGGAAGGACGGAGCAGAGGGGGCGCAGAGUUCUUGUCCUGGGUGGGGGGCGGGGAGUGGGAGACGGUGGGCACGAGGAUGGCGGCUGGAGGGUAGGCUCGCUGGAGAAGCAGCGGCAGCCUCGCCUUGGGCUGCUGGAGGGUGGGUGUUCCUGGACCAGUCUUCCAGAACCAGACCCAGAAAAUGCGAAUUACUGGCCUGAAGCCCCUGCCCAUCCCGGGGACACUUACCCCGCAAUGGCACCGUCCACCAGAUGGGGCCAGGUGGCAGGUGGGUGUGUGUUGGAUUCCCACCCCAUCCCCCUGUCCCUCUUGGCAGGGUGGCUGCCUUGACAGGUGUGCCCCGGUCCUUUCUUUCCCGUCACCAGGCUGUGAACCCUCACUUCAUCCAGGUGGGCGUAUGGGACCCACUCCUCGCAUGAGCUUUGCGUUUCACUGAUCUGCAGAGGGGUGACACGGAGGAGAGGGCGGGAGUCACGCUGGACCCUGGUUCGAGGCUCUAGGUCCCAGUCUCAGCUCGUUCCUUCCUGGAUGAGCGAUCUCGGUCAGGGUCCUCUACCACUCUGUGCUUGCAUCUGUAGGCAGAACAGCGGGGGCGAGCUCUCCAGUCCCGUCCAGCCCUACACGUGAAACCAUCGCGUUUUAGGAUGUGCCUGCACAUGGCCUCCUGAGUGUGUCUGGGUGUGUCCGUGGGCUCGUCUGUCUCCCGACUCUUUACUGGCAUCUCCCCCUGGCUCAGUCGCUCCUGCCCUGGGUAGUAUGUCACCCCUCCCUGCACCCUGCCCAGAGGAGGGCUCUUGCAGUGGCAGCAGCGAGGGCGCAGAGCCCACUGGCCCACGCGGCCUUGCCGAAGGCCGUCAGGGCAGGCAGAGCCGGGUCGGGGUGAGAAGUCACGGUGCCCGUCUCCUGGGUGGUUGAUCUCUCCUGACUGGUGGGUGGUGAACGGGCUUUUGCUGAGCGUGAGGUCGGGGCCCGGAGCAGCUGGCUGCAGAGGUUAGGCUGCUGUCUCUUUCUGGUUUCUUUUUCCCUCAACGAAAGCUGGAGGCUCAGGGAACUGUUUACAGACUCCAGAACAAUCCGUGCGCGAAUCUGUGUUUGGGUGGCGUGACACGUGGCACGUGUUUUGGCUCCUGACCCCGCACACGGGCACAUCCCACAUCCAAACAGCCCAGAGCCCUCCUCACUGGUGAUCACCCAUCCUGGGGUGCCCGCGGUCCCCUCCGGACGGUGCCUGACGGACCUCAUCCACUGGGCCAGUGGGGAGAGAAGUCAAGCUGUGCUUGUUAAGCGUCCCCUACCCCUUUCAUCAUCGACUUUGUCAGAGGGCGAGGAAAAGCCUGCUUGCCGAGGAAAGACGUGUUUUGGAAAACUCACUGAGCAUCCUUCUGCGGCACCGUUGGCCACCUUCCCCCGUUCGCUUCCAUUCCAGGCUUGAGCGGAAGGGAGGAAGGGCCCGGUCCAUGGAAGUUGCUCACUGAUGCUGCGUCUCUCUGGACCAAAUCUUCACCCGAUAGCACGCAGACGGGGAGGCACCGCUAGCGCGAGCCGGUUUCUCUCCCCGCUUCACAUAAGCCUCCUGUUCUUUGGCUGGGGGAGGGCAGCACUUAGCACAAGGGAGACUUCAGACGGGCCGGGCCAGGCCGGGGGGGAGCCGGGCGGGCGAGCGGGGUUAGUGGCAGGAGGUGUGGAGUGUUGUCAUUUAUUAGGUCUAUGGAAACAAUACGGGGUUUGUCUCCAGGGUAUGGCGGUGCCCGAGGAGGCCGGCCAAGAUGGGCCCCAGCAGAAGGAAAACAAGCACAGGUUUGACGAAAAUGUGGUGACCCCGAGAGGAGCAGGGAAAAAAGCACCUUUGUUUCGGGAGGUCGGGGCCAGCGAGGCCUGGGGGCAGGGACAGGGCGUGCAAGGAGGACACGGGUGUAGAGAGAAUCGCGGCUUCUGUCCCGUGAGCCUGGGCCGCUGAAAGGGGCUUGAGAAGCCGGGUGGCCGGUCCUGAUGCCUUGUAUUCUGGGGCAGAUUUCGGGGAACCUCUUCCUUAUCAGCUCUGCUCCUGGGAAGAGACCUGGGCUUUGUGGGGAGAGGAUGGACAGGGUCUGCCUUGACGCGGAGGCUUCUGGUGGGCUGCAGUUUCGCCUGUCGCUCGGGGUGGCUGGAGGAGCCCCCAGAAGCUGGGUGAGGCUCUGUGGGAUGUGGGGAGGAGGACGCUCCCCUGCCUCACGGUAUAGAUGGAGACCUCAGGUGUCCGGAAGCAGCAGGGAGACCCUCCAAUACCCCCCCGCCCCGCCCCCGAGCACCUCCCCACGAUGUCAUCUUUCCACAGACGCCCCUGCUGCCCCCGUGGACCUGUAUCCCCAAACCCAGUGACUCAGACUUCUAACUAAUGAUUAUCUGCUUUUAAACCCAAGGGGCUGGUAGGCCUUAAGUAGUUUCCCAUCACCCUUCUCUCUUCGGCAGAAGGUAGGACCCUGCAGUCCUGGGAGAAUGAACUUGCCCUUGUUCAUGUGACGGAUGCAUGUGGAGGCCUCCGCCAGGCGUGGCUGCCCCUCUGGGGGCGUCUCCAGUUCCCCAGACCGCAGCCCUGACUGCCUGUAAGAAGCCCGCGCUGGGUGAACUUGGACUGCCGGCCACCUGCCCAUGGGAGCCGUGAUGGGGAGUCCUGGUGCUGGCUGUGGACGCUCAGCUCUGGGACAGCCCAGGGGCCUGUUUAACCCCCUUGAGGCUGCCUCUGACAGGAGAGAGAGGCGUGGUCUGAGAAGGAAGUGCUGCAAUGUUGAGGUUGUUAUGACCUCAGCUACCAUUGAGAGUUAAUAAUAAGCACUAAUGGUAUUAAUACUAGCAGUUGCUGUAUUCUGUGUUCCAGACAUCCAUCACUGUAGGACAGACACACUCAUGUGCACACACGUGCACGUAGGUGUGCUCAGACACACACAGACACACACACGCUCAUUUAUUCCUCAAAUAACCUGAUGAAGUAGGCGUUACUGUUGUCCCUGUUUUACCGAUGGAGACACCGAGGCACAGAGAGGGCAAGUAGCUUAUCAAAAAUCACACAGCUAUGAAGUGGUACAGCCUGGCCCCAAACCCAAGCCCUUGGGCUCCGAGCACCAGGCGAUGUUGCCAGGGACCUGGAGGGCUGCUCUGUGCCAGGCAUUCCGUGGCUAUCUCCACCCUCCCGAUGGCCCCGUGAGGGCUGUCAUUUAUCCUCCUUUCCCAGUGGCAGAGCCUGCCUGAGGUCACAGAGGCCGCGGGACUUGGCUCAGGGUCCCCCACUUGGCAGCCCAGCUCUGUCGACUCUUGAGGCCCGUGCUCCCUCCCGAGGUCAAAAGGCCUUCCCGCUCCUUGUGGGCACAUUGUCUUGGGAGGGGGCUGUUUGCAUCAUCAAAAUUCUAUCUUCUGCGUUUGAGGGAGAGCCCAGAGGAUGCAGCAGGUUCACCCCUGCCCCCCUGCGCUGGAAGGAGGGGAUUUGGUUCUUCCCCUGGCUGGUCACCUUGCCCUCUCCUGUCGCCCCGCUCCCGCAUCCCCAGCUGGCCCUGCUGACUCUGGGCUGCCCACCAGCCCCGACUCCCGGGCCUUGCACGUGGGCUGGUGUGAUUCUCCUCUUCUUUUUCUGGCCUCUGGUCCUCCCUCAUUUUUCAUUUAUGAUGACAUGUCGGGCUCACGAAGAUGGCCCACUUGGGCUGAGACAGACGCUAAGUGGGACCGUGUCUUCCCCGAAGGAAAUGGCUCUUGUCUUCCCUAUUAACUGUUUGUGAUCGGGGCCUCCUUCAUCGUCUGUCAGGGACCCAGAGCCGAGGAGGAGAGGAGUUGGGGGGCCUCUGGGGGAGGAAGAGGGGAGCUCGGAGAUGGUAUUCUGUCAGGCCAGUCCCUUCACGGCCGUUCCACGUCCCGUCUUCACUCCGUUGUGACUCAGUGUGUUCUCCUGAUCCUAACUGAGCACCUACGGUGUGCCCGGGCCCUGUGACAGCCUUUUUUUCUUUAAUUUUUAUUUUACACUGGAGUACAGCUGAUUUACAAUGUUGUGUUAGUUUCAGGUGUACAGCAGAGUGAUUCAGUUCUACAUAUAUAUGUAUCGAUUCUUUUUCAGAUUCUUUUCCCAUAUAGGCCAUUACAGAGUAUUGAGCACAGUUCCCUGUGCUAUACAGUAGGUCUUUGUCCUGCGCCUUUCUCGUUCCUCCUGCCACAAACCUUGGAAGGGAUUCCCAACGGGAAUGAGAUGUUGAGUGUCUGCCCAGCAUCACAGCUGGGAAGUGGCAGAGCCCGGAUUUCAAACCGGACCUCGGGACUGGAAAGCCCUGCUCUUCCCCGACCCUCCUGCCUCUGGUCCACACUGGCCCAGCCCCCAGCUCCUCUGAGCACCCCUCCCUCCAUGCCAUGCCCCCUUGACCUUAGGACUCUUCAGCACUGACUUUUUAGAUCCUGGUUAUGAGGUUUUGUCCUCAACUACCUCGAGUUGCUUUAUAAGUAUAUCGACAAGGUGGUAAACUUGAAAAUAGCCCUUUUCUGUUACUUUUGUAUCCCCUAAAUCAUCUAGCAUAGUACCAGGCGCACUGCGUAGACCUCUUCAAGUACCUGUUAAAUUAAAAGAAAAAGCACUAAAAGUGGCAUUGGAGGGCCUGUGACCUGCACCUUCUGGGGACAUGACACAUGGGGGUGAAUAUUACUGUCAUCAUUUUACAGAUGAGAAAACCGAGGCUCGGGGAAGUUGGGAAGCAUGCCCAGAAUCAGACAGCUGGUGAGGGGCUCAGCCUUUUGGACCUUGAAGCCUGGAGUCUAUCCAGCUGUCAGCUGGGGCUGCGGCCCCCGGGUUUAGAGGGCAAAGGACAUUCGCGGUAAGGCUCACUCAUGACAAGUCAUAGGUUUGAGAUGGAUGCUUGAUUCUUUUCUCUCUGAGCUGCCUUCUUGGCCACCAGCUUCUUAUUUUUACACCAGCCGCAUUGAGGUAUACUUUACGUACUGUCAGAUUCACCCGUUAUAAAUGUGCGACCCAGUAACUGUUAGCGUACCUGCGUGGCCAGCCCUGAGCUGCUCAGUGAACCUGCCUCUAUGGACGUUUCGUGUCCGUGGAAUGAGGCAUCUGUAGUCUUUUGCACCUGGCUUCCUUUGCUUAGUAUGUUUCUGAGCAAGUGGCCACCACCGACUUUUCAUUGAGUCUAGCGUGUGCGUCCAGACUUCAGUACAUGGCAGUGAAUGGGUUAACUGGAAACAUGCAACACGGGUGCCUGGGGUGGGGUGCAGUGUGGGCUGCACCUGGGGGGUCUCAGAAGUGUCUUGUCUUCAGCACUUCCUGCCCGCGUCCCGAUCCAUGUGUGCCACCUUGCCAGCCAGCUAUAAUGGACCUGGCUUCCUCCUUCCAGCUGUUGUGACUUAAGUCAUAAUGACAGGCGGUGGAGGUCUGUUUCCUAGCAAUUAAUUAAACUAGCCAGGAAGGACUUGACCCUCCCAUCUCAUUGUUCCUGCUCCCCGCAAAGGGGGUCUGGGAGGAUGUUGGCAAAUCCCUUCCCUCUCCAAGGCUCCCCACACUGCUGAUUGCCCCCCACCCCCGGCUGAUUCUCAAGGCUGUUGCAUGCAAAAGCAAACAUGCCAUUUAAUUUCAUUUUUGGGCCUCUUCCUCCCUAUGACCUCAACCCCAAUCCAAGGAGACAGGGCGGGGAACGAGCCAUUCACUCAGUCAGCAAACAGGGCUUGGUUGCCUGACACGGGCAGGGGAGGAGUAGGUGAGGCAGACGCAGCCCCCCAGACCUUCAGAUCUCGAAGCCGGAGUUGGAGGAGAAGGUAUGAAGUGAACAACCUAAGGGCCACGAGUGAAUAAAAGCAGAAUGAACAAGAACACCAGCUCCCAGGUCAGGGAGACCGCAGCGCUGCCUGGAAUCGUCAGGAAGGGGCUGGACACGGAACCCUGAGGGCUGGGACGUGGGGAAGUGAAGAGGGGACUGUGGUGCGGGCAGAAGAACUCACGAGGCUUUGCUGGAGGCAGCGGGGAGCGCUUGUUCCUGGCGGGGAUGCGCCCCGGUGUGGCCGAGAAGGUGGGAAGCUCUGUCCCAAGACAGGCAGCCCCCAGGGCUCCCAUCAGGAGGCUGCAGGGCUGCGGCCGCUCCUGACCUGGCUGUCAGGGGUGGGGAAACGUGACGGCAGAUGCUGAUUCCGUACUCUGGACGCACUUGACCCUGGGGCUGAGCACGCUGGACUCCUGGACACGCGGUCAGUGCUCUUCUCCGCUGCCGUCCCUCUCCAGGUGCUCUGGGGAGUUUCUGUUUUACACCACUGUUUAAACCAUAUUUGUUAUUCAGAACAACUUUAUAUUAAAAAAAAAAAACCCUCUCACUAGAACCCUGCCUCAUCAUCAAGGGUUUGCAUUUUCUGUGGACUUUGCAGAAUCAUAAUCUCAGAGCACGUGAUUUCUCACUUUUCACUUAACCUUUUGUUGUUCACGUUCUUAAGUUCCCCGUCUUUGCAUUUUGUUUUAAUGCCUGUACAAUAUUCUGCAAGACUGACCUGACAAUCUGCUUAAUAUAACUGUUGAGUGGUAGCGGAUGGCUGACUUUUAUCGCAUAAACGAUGCCCUGAAACUUUUUUUCUCCAUUUUACCUUUUGGCGGAACUGGGUGUUUCCAAUAACAGGCGUAUUCCUGGCCUCUGGCUUCUCCUUUUCGUCCCCUCGCAAACUGCACAUCCCGGAAGUGUUUGAAGACCCUCCUUCGGUUUUGUUCUUGGACCUGCUUGGCACCCAGCUGCAGCUUAAGGACUGUUUGUCCCCUGAAGUGCACGUCCAGGCUCUGUGUGGAGUGCAGAAUUCUGGAAGGACACCUGAAGGAGAAACUUGAGUCUCCGGGUUGGCUCUGUGUCCCUUGGGGACCCUCCGUCCAGGUUGUUUUGGCCUCACUGACCCAUGGCUCUACCCGUUGCCCUCCCCUCUCUUCCUGCCCUCCCCUCCUGGGAGGACCAGGGGGCACAGAAAAGCUGGACCGGAGGGAGCCGCUUGCACUGGGAUUCCUUCCAGGCGCUGAGAGGUCUUCCUCCUUUCGCGACCCUGUCCCGCUCAGGGGCUCUGCAUGUUAAGCAAACACGCCUUGAAAGAGAAAAGCUAAUUCUGCUCCCUGUGCUGACGUCCUGGCCUCAAGAGCCACCAGUUGCCCCGCCUUGAGAACGGCUAAGUGGCACUGCAGGGGGUGUGUGUGUGUGUCUGUGUGUGCACGGGCACUCACGUAUACACACACACACACAGGCGCGCGCGCGCGUGUGUGGUGGGGCAGCCAGCUCUUACUCCAAGAGAGCUUGUCUAAUAAAGACCUCUCGUAGGAGGAGGGAAGGAGAUGCGGAACGUCAGGGAAAUAAACAGAUUGCGAAUGGUUGUCGCUGGGGCUGCUACUAUACAUUCUCAUGGCAGCUGUGACAUUAAAACUGUGUCAGAAAAUUCGGACACCUGACAGUGCCUUGAAGAUGGAAUAUGUCGGACGUCUCCUUGGACAUGGUGAGGGAUGUCCGUGUCACGUUGGUGUGAUAUACACAGAGUGCAGAUUCCAUUCUCUUCUUCACUUUUAUGGCAAGGGUGGCUUUCCAGUGUCUCAACGUUGAUGAUGGUCCUUCAGGGCCUGAGGGCCAGUGAGUCAGUGGACCGUUGUUUUCUUACCGAGUCCCCAAUGCGGGGCUCUUUCAAGAAGAGCAUAAAUGGAUUAUUUUUUUAUGUAAAGAGAGAGUUGAUUCUUGGGGAGUUUGUUUUGAAAUUAUUAUAAGUUACAGCACAUUUAUGUUGUGAAAAACCACGAGAUUUAAAUCCUGCCCUUUUGCAAGCAGAUUUCUGCGCACGUUCUGCCGCACAGGUCGUCUUCUGACGGAUCAACCCAGUAUUUAAGGGCGUCAGGGGAGCCCCCCACGGGAUCAGCAUUUAUUUCACGCGUGACAUAGUGUCUUUCAGUAAAGGCUCAAAAUGUGAACACCUGUUCUGGAUUUGUUUGAAACUUUGACCAAUAAAGAUCAUAAAUAAAUGUUUCUUUCAAGAAAAGAAAAAA